rnacentral:rRNA from 1 species
CCUACGGGUGGCAGCAGUGGGGGAUAUUGCACAAUGGGGGGAACCCUGAUGCAGCGACGCCGCGUGGGUGAAGGAGCGUUUCGGCGCGUAAAGCCCUAUCGGCAGGGAAGAAGGAGGACGGUACCUGACUAAGACGCCCCGGCUAACGACGUGCCAGCAGCCGCGGUAAUACGUAGGGGGCAGGCUGUAUCCGGAUUUACUGGGUGUAAAGGGGGGGCAGACGGCAGCGCAAGCCAGGGGGGAAAGCACGGUGCCCAAACCCGGGACUGCGCUUGGAACUGCGCGGCUUGAGUGCAGGAGGGGCAGGCGGAAUUCCUGGUGUAGCGGGGAAAUGCGUAGAUAUCAGGAGGAACACCGGUGGCGAAGGCGGCCUGCUGGACUGCGACUGACGUUGAGGCCCGAAAGCGUGGGGAGCAAACAGGAUUAGAUACCCGAGUAGUC